UAAAGCGUGAAGGAUAACGUUGCGUCAGCAACGGCCCGUAGGGCGAGGCGAAGCCGAGUCAUCCUGCACGACCCACCA
rnacentral:sRNA from 1 species